UACGGAGGGUGCAAGCGUUAUCCGGAUUCACUGGGCUUAAAGGGCGCGUAGGCGGUCUAGCCAGUCCGGGGUGAAAGCCUCCAGCUCAACUGGAGAAGUGCCUUGGAUACUGCUGGACUCGAGCGAGGUAGGGGUGAUGGGAACUUCCGGUGGAGCGGUGAAAUGCGUUGAUAUCGGAAGGAACGCCGGUGGCGAAAGCGCAUCACUGGACCUCUUCUGACGCUGAGGCGCGAAAGCUAGGGGAGCAAACGGG
rnacentral:rRNA from 1 species